rnacentral:rRNA from 1 species
AAAAAACACCCUGCAUCUGCCGGUGCCCGCCGCCGCCGACCGCACCCAGCGCCUCCAUGCGCGGGCUCGCGCUCGUGCCUCCCCGCCGCACCGCACCGCCGGCUACCGGAGCACCGCCGCCGGAAGAGCGCGCCUCCAUGCCCUUUCUCCUUAUUCCCUCCCCUUCCUCCGGUUCUAUUUCUCACCUCCCUCUCUCUCUCUUUUGCAGGAAGCGGAAGCCAUGGCCGCCGCCCCGCCGCCCCGCGCCGGCCGGCCAUCGGAGCGCCGCUGCUGGACCAACGCGCCGCUGCCCUCCUCUCCUUCUCCCCCUCCCUACGGUUCUAUCUCUCACCUCCCUCUCUCUCUCCUUUGCAGAAAGCCACGGCCGCCGGACCUCCACGCCUCCGCGAGCCCGCCGCCGGCCUGCGACCUCUACGCUGCCUCCAGUCCUCUCCGGACUCCUCCGUCGUAUUAUUCUCAUUCUCCGACGCUGCCAAGUUCGCCCGAGGAAGAAGCGUCGAGUUCGCCGGAGGAACAAGAACAUCCGUCCAGCCGUCCAUUGUCACCUGAGCUACACCAGAG